rnacentral:rRNA from 1 species
GGAUUAGAUACCCUGGUAGUCCACGCCGUAAACGCUGUCUACUAGCUGUUUGUGUAUUUAAUACGUGAGUAGCGAAGCUAACGCGCUAAGUAGACCGCCUGGGGAGUACGGCCGCAAGGUUAAAACUCAAAGAAAUUGACGGGGACCCGCACAAGCGAUGGAGCAUGUGGUUCAAUUCGAAGCAACGCGAAGAACCUUACCUACUCUUGACAUCCAGAGAACUUAGCAGAGAUGCUUUGGUGCCUUCGGGAACUCUGAGACAGGUGCUGCAUGGCUGUCGUCAGCUCGUGCCG